GACGAACGCUGGCGGCGUGCCUAAUACAUGCAAGUCGAGCGGACGGAUGGGAGCUUGCUCCCAGACCGUCAGCGGCGGACGGGUGAGUAACCCGUGGGCAACCUGCCUGUAAGACUGGGAUAACUCCGGGAAACCGGGGCUAAUACCGGAUAACUCUUUCCCUCACAUGAGGGAAAGCUGAAAGAUGGCAUCUCGCUAUCACUUACAGAUGGGCCCGCGGCGCAUUAGCUAGUUGGUGGGGUAACGGCUCACCAAGGCGACGAUGCGUAGCCGACCUGAGAGGGGGAUCGGCCGCACUGGGACUGAGACACGGCCCAGACGCCUACGGGAGGCAGCAGUAGGGAAUCUUCCGCAAUGGACGAAAGUCUGACGGAGCAACGCCGCGUGAGUGAUGAAGGUUUUCGGAUCGUAAAACUCUGUUGUCAGGGAAGAACAAGUACCGGAGUAACUGCCGGUACCUUGACGGUACCUGACCAGAAAGCCACGGCUAACUACGUG
rnacentral:rRNA from 1 species